GCCCAGACUCCUACGGGAGGCAGCAGUGAGGAAUAUUGGUCAAUGGUCGGGAGACUGAACCAGCCAAGCCGCGUGAGGGAUGAAGGUACAGAGUAUCGUAAACCUCUUUUGUCAGGGAACAAAGGCGGGGACGCGUCCCCGGAUGAGUGUACCUGAAGAAAAAGCAUCGGCUAACUCCGUGCCAGCAGCCGCGGUAAUACGGAGGAUCCGAGCGUUAUCCGGAUUUAUUGGGUUUAAAGGGAGCGUAGAUGGGUUGUUAAGUCAGUUGUGAAAGUCCGCGGCUCAACCGUGGAAUUGCAGUUGAAACUGGAGGCCUUGAGUGCACACAGGGAUGCCGGAAUUCAUGGUGUAGCGGUGAAAUGCUUAGAUAUCAUGAAGAACUCCGAUCGCGAAGGCAAGUGUCCGGGGUGCAACUGACGCUGAGGCUCGAAAGUGCGGGUAUCAAACAGGAUUAGAUACCCGCGUACUG
rnacentral:rRNA from 1 species